AUCUAAUGCCUUCCUUGAGAUAUAUGAUGAACCAAAUAAAGAAGAUUAGCAUGGCCCCUGCGUACGAAUGACAUGCAGAAAUCAAGAAAAAGAUCCAUCAUCU